rnacentral:rRNA from 1 species
AGCAGCCGCGGUAAUUCCAGCUCCAAUAGCGUAUAUUAAAGUUGUUGCAGUUAAAAAGCUCGUAGUUGAAUUUCGGGGUCAGUAGGUUGGUCAUGCCACUGGUAUGUACUGGUCUCACUGAUUCCUCCUUCCUGAUGAGCCGUAAUGCCAUUAAUUUGGUGUUGCGAGGAAUCUGGACUGUUACUUUGAAAAAUUAGAGUGUUUAAAGCAGGCUAACGCUUGAAUACAUUAGCAUGGAAUAAUGAAAUAGGACGUUCGAUCUUAUUUUGUUGGUUUCUAAGAUUGACGUAAUGAUUAAUAGGGAUAGUUGGGGGCAUUAGUAUUCAAUUGUCAGAGGUGAAAUUUUUGGAUUUAUUGAAGACUAACUACUGCGAAAGCAUUUGCCAAGGAUGUUUUCAUUAAUCAAGAACGAAAGUUAGGGGGUCGAAGACGAUCAGAUACCGUCGUAGUCUUAACCAUAAACUAUGCCGACUAGGGAUCGGAUGAUGUUAAUUUUUAAUGUACUCA